GUGCUCGCUUCAGCAGCACAUAUACUAAAAUUGGAACGAUACAGAGAUGAUUAGCAUGGCCCCUUUGCAAGGAUGACACGCAAAAAUAACUAGGUGUAUAACCAGUCUUU